GAUGAACGCUGGCGGCGUGCCUAAUACAUGCAAGUCGAGCGAACAGACGAGGAGCUUGCUCCACUCACGUUAGCGACGGACGGGUGAGUAACACGUGGAUAACCUUCCUAUAAGACUGGGAUAACUUCGGGAAACCGGAGCUAAUACCGGAUAAUAUAUUGAACCGCAUGGUUCAAUAGUGAAAUCCGGUUUUGCUGUCACUUAUAGCUGGCUCCGCGGCGCAUUAGCUAGUUGGUAAGGAAACGGCUUACCAAGGCAACGAUGCGUAGCCGACCUGAGAGGGUGAUCGGGCACAGUGGAACUGAGACACGGUCCAGACGCCUACGGGAGGCAGCAGUAGGGAAUCUUCCGCAAUGGGCGAAAGCUUGACGGAGCGACGCCGCGUGGAUGAUGAAGGGCUUCGGAUCGUAAAACUGUGUUAUGAGGGAAGAACAAAUGUGUAAGUAACUAUGCUCGUCUUGACGGUACCUAAUUAGAAAGCCACGGCUAACUACGUG
rnacentral:rRNA from 1 species